GCCGGGGUGGCGAAACUGGCAGACGCACGGGACUUAAAAUCCCGGGCUCCGCAAGGAGCGUGUGGGUUCGACCCCCACCCUCGGCA
rnacentral:tRNA from 1 species